rnacentral:rRNA from 1 species
UACGAAGGGGGCUAGCGUUGUUCGGAAUUACUGGGCGUAAAGCGCACGUAGGCGGAUAUUUAAGUUAGGGGUGAAAUCCCAGGGCUCAACCCUGGAACUGCCUUUAAUACUGGGUAUCUCGAGUCCGAGAGAGGUGAGUGGAAUUCCGAGUGUAGAGGUGAAAUUCGUAGAUAUUCGGAGGAACACCAGUGGCGAAGGCGGCUCACUGGCUCGGUACUGACGCUGAGGUGCGAAAGCGUGGGGAGCAAACGGG